rnacentral:tRNA from 1 species
GUCCUAUUAGCUCAGUGGAUAGAGCGUCUGACUUCUAAUCAGGACGUCGUGGGUUCGACCCCCUCAUAGGACA